rnacentral:rRNA from 1 species
UAAUACGUAGGGUGCGAGCGUUAAUCGGAAUUACUGGGCGUAAAGGGAGCGCAGGCGGAUAUAUAAGUUAGAUGUGAAAUCCCCGAGCUUAACUUGGGAACGGCAUUUAAGACUGUAGAUCUAGAGUUUGUCAGAGGGGGGUAGAAUUCCAAGUGUAGCAGUGAAAUGCGUAGAGAUUUGGAGGAAUACCGGUGGCGAAGGCGGCCCCCUGGGAUAGAACUGACGCUCAUGCUCGAAAGCGUGGGUAGCAAACAGG